rnacentral:lncRNA from 1 species
ACUCUCCCCCCAUUAUAUUCCGUGCUCUCUCUCUCUCUCUCUCCUCUUAAAAAAAAUAUAUAUAUUUAUUAUAUCGCAUUUACACUAUAUUAUUAAAAACCAAUUAAUUAUAUAUUUUUAAAAUAAAAAUAUAAUAAAAAUAUUUUGUUAAUAAUUAUUAUAUGAUGGAUAAAUAGAAAAAGCAUAAUCUAAUUUGUUGAAAACAUCACAUUCAUAAUAUAAUAAAUAUAUUCUAAAUUUUUUCUUUUACGAUUCCUUCCCCCCCUCUCUCUCUCUCUCUCUCUCCUCUCUAGAAGAUGGGCUUUUGGGCUUCUACAGUUACAAAAAACUGCUUCGUUCCAAAGGUGCUCCCGAUAGUCGACUAAGGGGCUGUUUGGUUCCGCGUAAAAUUGUAAAAAAAAUAUUUUAAUAAAAAAAAUUUCGGGAAAAAAUAAAUUUUUUAAUAUUUAGUGUUUGGUUUAUAGAAAAAAAAUAUAAUUUUUUUAUCACAGUCGUUUAAUUGAAAGGGAAAAAUUAGAUGAAAAACUAUCAAUAUAUUUUUUAUUAUAUAUAUUAUUUAUAAUUUAUAUUUAUAAAUUAAAUAUAUNNNNNNNNNNNNNNNNNNUAUUAUUUAUUUAUAAAUAAAAUAAUACAUAAUAAUAACCAUAAUAAAAAUAAAAUAUUUUAUAUAUAAUUAUAAAAUAUAAAUUUAUAAAUAAAAUAUUAUAUAUAUAUAUAUAU